rnacentral:rRNA from 1 species
UACGUAGGGGGCUAGCGUUGUCCGGAAUCAUUGGGCGUAAAGCGCGUGUAGGCGGCUUGGUAAGUCCGCUCUGAAAGCCCGGGGCUCAACCCCGGGAGGCGGGUGGAUACUGUCAAGCUCGAGUCCGGAAGAGGCGAGUGGAAUUCCUGGUGUAGCGGUGAAAUGCGCAGAUAUCAGGAGGAACACCAAUGGCGAAGGCAGCUCGCUGGGACGUGACUGACGCUGAGACGCGAAAGCGUGGGGAGCGAACAGG